rnacentral:rRNA from 1 species
AUUGAACGCUGGCGGCAGGCCUAACACAUGCAAGUCGAGCGGAUGAAGGGAGCUUGCUCCUGGAUUCAGCGGCGGACGGGUGAGUAAUGCCUAGGAAUCUGCCUGGUAGUGGGGGAUAACGUCCGGAAACGGGCGCUAAUACCGCAUACGUCCUGAGGGAGAAAGUGGGGGAUCUUCGGACCUCACGCUAUCAGAUGAGCCUAGGUCGGAUUAGCUAGUUGGUGGGGUAAAGGCCUACCAAGGCGACGAUCCGUAACUGGUCUGAGAGGAUGAUCAGUCACACUGGAACUGAGACACGGUCCAGACUCCGACGGGAGGAAGCAGUGGGGAAUAUUGGACAAUGGGCGAAAGCCUGAUCCAGGCAUGCCGCGUGUGUGAAGAAGGUCUUCGGAUUGUAAAGCACUUUAAGUUGGGAGGAAGGGCAGUAAGUUAAUACCUGGCUGUUUUGACGUUACCAACAGAAUAAGCACCGGCUAACUUCGUG